GACAGAGGAUGCAAGCGUUAUCCGGAAUCACUGGGCGUAAAGCGUGCGUAGGUGGCGCGUUAAGUGAGAUGUUAAAUCGUGUGGCUCAACCAUAUCGAUGCAUCUCAUACUGGCGUGCUAGAGGACGGCAGAGGCAAGUGGAAUUGGUAGUGUAGCAGUGAAAUGCGUGGAUAUUACCAGGAACACCAAUGGCGAAGGCAGCUUGCUGGGCCACUCCUGACACUGAGGUACGAAAGCGUGGGGAGCGAACAGG
rnacentral:rRNA from 1 species